CAAAACAAAAUAAUGUCAUUGCUUUAGAAAAACAGCUUGAAAAAUUGAAACUUCAAUUAAACGAAUCAAAUAAAUCAUGUGACAAAAUUUUAGAAUUAGAAAAUAAAAUUAAGGAAUAUUAUACUAAAAAAACAGUCUCCGCAAAAAUUAGAUCACGAACUAAAUGGGCCGAAGACGGGGAGAAGUCGACAAAAUACUUUUUUAAUUUAGAAAAGAAAAAUGGGCAGAAUAAACUAUGGCAACGUGUAAAAACAGAAAACGGUGAGUAUAAAUGUGACAUUGAUUCAAUCUUAAAUGAACAAGUAAAAUUUUAUACUAAACUUUUUGCCACGGAAGGGUGGGACAAAACAGCGGGCGAACAACUUUGUCAAUUUAUGGUAGACAAGGUAAGUAAGGA
rnacentral:lncRNA from 1 species